UUGGCGCGUAAAGUUCGUGUCUA
rnacentral:snRNA from 1 species